rnacentral:antisense_RNA from 1 species
GGGGUGGCGAGGCGAGGCCUACGGAGCGGAGGAAGACACUUAAAGAUGAAGUGCUUAAUUCAAGGUCACAGAAUGUCGGGGAUGGACCUCCAGAUUUCCUUACUGACCUGCAUUAUCUUGUGGAUACCUGAGUGAAUUCCACACCACCCAUUUUAUAGAUGAAGCCACUGAGACGUGGAGCAACUGACUGAGUAGUCACUGCCCCACCCCUGCCUGGAGCCUCACACAUGACUUCUCUUAGUGACCACAGGUUGGUUGAGGGGUUUAACAAGGCUAAGAAGGUGAGACGUGGUCUUGUAACACAGUGGUUAAGAAUGUGACUUUGGAGCCAGCCUGCUAGGGGCUGAAUUCUGACUCAGCCAUUUAUUAACUGUGUGACCUUAGAUGGAGUCUCACUCUGUAGCCCAAGCUGGAGUGGCGUGAUCUCGACUCACUGCAACCUCCGCCUCCUGGGCUCAAGUGAUUCUCGUGCCUCAGCCUCCUGAGUAGCUGGGACUACAGGUCAUAGAAUUUUCCACACUCCUUGACGGAGGUUCUUAACCCUUAUCCAUCAGCAUUCUCAGACAGCACCUCCGGUUAGGGACAGUAUCUGACCGUCCGACAUCCCUGCAGCCCCCAUGCUGUCACACAGACUCAGCCUCAGGUAGAUGGUUUCCGUA